GUCUAUGGCCAUACCACCCUGAACAUGCCUCAUCUCAUCUGAUCUCAGAGGCUAAGCAGGGUUGGGUCUGGUUAGUACUUGGAUGGGAGAGAGAAAGAUAAUAGAUGAUAGAUU
ensembl:rRNA 5S_rRNA 5S ribosomal RNA